CACUAACUGCCAGUAUGUUGACUCCCUGUACAAUACCUCUCCCUUUCACUUCACUCUAAGUACUCUUAACAAUAUCUUGAAAUAUAGUUUCUGGUUUUGUUUUCAGUCAAGUCAUAUUAUUGAGGACUGCAAGGUGGGAGAUGCAACAAUGGUCUUGAGAACAGCUGGAAGUGUGUUGGUGGUCUUUCUCUGGUCUGUAACAGGUAUGGUCUCAUUCAUAUCUUUUAGUUGCUCUGUUUAAUAAUCUACAAACACUUAUGAAAGGUUAAGAAUCAUAAUGUUAUUCUGGUGUGUUCUGUUAAGCAUAUCAACUUCACUUAAAUAGUUUUCUGUGGUUUCCAUUCACACUCAACUCAGCAACUAAAGCAACAAAGUGGAGACAAACCCUACUGUCAGUGUGAACCAAUAGACCUUGUCUUCAUUCUGAUACCAUUGUGAUGUCUAACAGUGUUUCAGUGGUACUGGGUCAGGAUGGCUGGAGUGUUACAUACACCACUCAGAGUAUCUGUACCUUGAAGGGGUCAUCAGUGGAUCUGUUCUGCUCUUACACAUAUCCCAGUGGUUAUACGGUCACAACAACCUUCUGGUUCACUAAGAUUGUAAAUCUGAGAGACGACCCAGACAACAAAGGUCGUGUGACGUACCGUAGAGAUAGGAUGAAUGUCCACACCCUGAGAAUCACAGACCUGAGAGAGAGUGACUCAGCUGAGUACAAGUUCAGAUUUAUAACAGGUCAGACUGGAGAGAAAUAUACUGGUGAUCCU
ensembl:lncRNA